rnacentral:sRNA from 1 species
AGUCUGUCGGAGUCUGUCCUCGGAGCAGGCGGAGUAAAGGGACUUGAGCGAGCCAGUUGCCGGAUUAUUCUAUUUCCCCUCCCUCUCUCCCGCCCCGUAUCUUUUCACCUUUCUCCCACCCUCGCUCGCGUAGCCAUGGCGGAGCCGUCGGCGGCCACUCAGUCCCCUUCCAUCUCCUCGUCGUCCUCCGGAGCCGAGCCGUCCGCGCCCGGCGGCGGCGGGAGCCCAGGAGCCUGCCCCGCCCUGGGGACGAAGAGCUGCAGCUCCUCCUGUGCGGUGCACGAUCUGAUUUUCUGGAGAGAUGUGAAGAAGACUGGGUUUGUCUUUGGCACCACGCUGAUCAUGCUGCUUUCCCUGGCAGCUUUCAGUGUCAUCAGUGUGGUUUCUUACCUCAUCCUGGCUCUUCUCUCUGUCACCAUCAGCUUCAGGAUCUACAAGUCCGUCAUCCAAGCUGUACAGAAGUCAGAAGAAGGCCAUCCAUUCAAGUGAGUUGAAGUCUUAAAAGCAACAUUCUACAUUUUAGUGGAAGGGUUCACUGAAGCUGAUAGGUCUAAAACUCAGACCUGACUAAAAAUCAAGAAUUAUGGGGCCUAAUGCAGCUGAUUGGUGGCAUGAAGCAUCCCCUAGAGACCUUGAAAUCACCUUAAGAAGUGGCCAAGUUAGAAGCCAAGAACUUUUUGACAAAUUAGAGGUUCAUACUUGAAGUUCAA